CCUACGGGGGGCAGAAGUGGGGAAUAUUGGACAAUGGGGGCAACCCUGAUCCAGCCAUGCCGCGUGUGUGAAGAAGGCCCUCGGGUUGUAAAGCACUUUCAGUGAGGAAGAACGCCUGGUGGUUAAUACCCAUCAGGAAAGACAUCACUCACAGAAGAAGCACCGGCUAACUCCGUGCCAGCAGCCGCGGUAAUACGGAGGGUGCGAGCGUUAAUCGGAAUUACUGGGCGUAAAGCGCGCGUAGGUGGCUUGAUAAGCCGGUUGUGAAAGCCCCGGGCUCAACCUGGGAACGGCAUCCGGAACUGUCAAGCUAGAGUGCAGGAGAGGAAGGUAGAAUUCCCGGUGUAGCGGUGAAAUGCGGAGAGAUCGGGAGGAAUACCAGUGGCGAAGGCGGCCUUCUGGACUGACACUGACACUGAGGUGCGAAAGCGUGGGUAGCAAACAGGAUUAGAUACCCCGGUAGUC
rnacentral:rRNA from 1 species